rnacentral:rRNA from 1 species
GUGGAUGAGGCAUGCAAGUCGAACGAAGCAGCAAUGCUUAGUGGCGGAAGGGUUAGUAAUACAUGGGUAACUUACCUUUAACUUGGGAAUAACGGUUGGAAACGAUCGCUAAUACCGAAUGUGGUGGGACAGGGCAUCCUGUUUUAUCAAAGUGGGGGAUUCUUCGGAACCUCGCGGUUAAAGAGAGGCUCAUGGGAUAUCAGCUAGUUGGUGUGGUAAUGGCGCACCAAGGCUAAGACGUCUAGGCGGAUUGAGAGAUUG